UAAACAUGCACUUAGCCUCCAUGCUUCAUUGCAUGAUCACUGGCUCACUGCUGAUCACUAUUUGGAAGGUAUCAUAUCCAUAGGAUACCAUAAGGACUCUGUAUAGAUUUCUGCAUUUUUCACCUGUAUUGUGACUUCUGAGGUCCUCCAUGUGUGCAUGAAGUUGCUGAUUCCUCUUUUUUCAUACGAAUGCUUCCCUUUUGAGCUCUUCGUAAUCUGAGUUACCAGAUUCACGAGAUGCACCCCUGAUGAAGUCUAGUUCCUAGACGAAACGCGUUGGGUUACUGUAUUUCUUGUUGAUAUUAUCUCCGAAUAUUUAAUGAGGAAGAAUAAGGAUACAACAGAAAGGUUGCCUUCUUUCCUCCAUAUCCCAUUGAUGGAUUUCUGUAGGAGAAACUAAAUCAUAAUGUACAUGUAAUAAUGAUGGAUAUACUUCAUUUUUUUGUAUAAUUGUUUUAAUAAAUUUUUAUGAAAAGAACAGUCCGUUAUGUGUUUUAAAAACCUGUAUAAAUAUUGAUUGCAAAUCCUGUUAAACAAUAGUCUUUGUAUAAGGGUAUUUGUAAACCCCUGGGGCGCCAUUUUUCCCUCUAUACUCUAUUUUCUUUGCUCAGUUCCUCCUAACAAGGAACUCGGAGAAACCAGGCAGCCCAUCCUAGAGAUAGCUAUACCUAAUCGCCUAUUUUGAAACCAAUUAGCG